GAUACUUAUUACAGUUCUAGUGGCGACGGGUGAGUAACACGUUGGAACCUGCCCCAAAGUGAGGAAUAAGCCACCGAAAGGUGGUCUAAUACUUCAUAAUAUCCAUCUCGUAUGGAUUAAAGCUUUAUGCGCUUUGGGAGGGGCCUGCGUAACAUUAGCUUGUUGGUGAGGUAAAAGCUCACCAAGGCUUCGAUGUUUAACUGGUUUGAGAGGAUGACCAGUCACACUGGGACUGAGAUACGGCCCAGACUCCUACGGGAGGCAGCAGUAAGGAAUCUUCCACAAUGGGGCAACCCUGAUGGAGCAAUACCGCGUGCAGGAUGAAGCGUUUCGGCGUGUAAACUGCUUUUAUCACCGAAGAUUAUGACUGUAGGUGAAGAAUAAGGACCGGCUAACUACGUG
rnacentral:rRNA from 1 species